rnacentral:rRNA from 1 species
CCUAACACAUGCAAGUCGAACGGUAACAGGAAACAGCUUGCUGUUUCGCUGACGAGUGGCGGACGGGUGAGUAAUGUCUGGGAAACUGCCUGAUGGAGGGGGAUAACUACUGGAAACGGUAGCUAAUACCGCAUAACGUCGCAAGACCAAAGAGGGGGACCUUCGGGCCUCUUGCCAUCGGAUGUGCCCAGAUGGGAUUAGCUUGUUGGUGGGGUAACGGCUCACCAAGGCGACGAUCCCUAGCUGGUCUGAGAGGAUGACCAGCCACACUGGAACUGAGACACGGUCCAGACUCCUACGGGAGGCAGCAGUGGGGAAUAUUGCACAAUGGGCGCAAGCCUGAUGCAGCCAUGCCGCGUGUAUGAAGAAGGCCUUCGGGUUGUAAAGUACUUUCAGCGGGGAGGAAGGGAGUAAAGUUAAUACCUUUGCUCAUUGACGUUACCCGCAGAAGAAGCACCGGCUAACUCCGUGCCAGCAGCCGCGGUAAUACGGAGGGUGCAAGCGUUAAUCGGAAUUACUGGGCGUAAAGCGCACGCAGGCGGUUUGUUAAGUCAGAUGUGAAAUCCCCGGGCUCAACCUGGGAACUGCUUCUGAUACUGGCAAGCUUGAGUCUCGUAGAGGGGGGUAGAAUUCCAAGUGUAGCGGUGAAAUGCGUAGAGAUCUGGAGGAAUACCGGUGGCGAAGGCGGCCCCCUGGACGAAGACUGACGCUCAGGUGCGAAAGCGUGGGGAGCAAACAGGAUUAGAUACCCUGGUAGUCCACGCCGUAAACGAUGUCGACUUGGAGGUUGUGCCCUUGAGGCGUGGCUUCCGGAGCUAACGCGUUAAGUCGACCGCCUGGGGAGUACGGCCGCAAGGUUAAAACUCAAAUGAAUUGACGGGGGCCCGCACAAGCGGUGGAGCAUGUGGUUUAAUUCGAUGCAACGCAAAGAACCUUACCUGGUCUUGACAUCCACAGAACUUUCCAGAGAUGGAUUGGUGCCUUCGGGAACUGUGAGACAGGUGCUGCAUGGCUGUCGUCAGCUCGUGUUGUGAAAUGUUGGGUUAAGUCCCGCAACGAGCGCAACCCUUAUCCUUUGUUGCCAGCGGUCCGGCCGGGAACUCAAAGGAGACUGCCAGUGAUAAACUGGAGGAAGGUGGGGAUGACGUCAAGUCAUCAUGGCCCUUACGACCAGGGCUACACACGUGCUACAAUGGCGCAUACAAAGAGAAGCGACCUCGCGAGAGCAAGCGGACCUCAUAAAGUGCGUCGUAGUCCGGAUUGGAGUCUGCAACUCGACUCCAUGAAGUCGGAAUCGCUAGUAAUCGUGGAUCAGAAUGCCACGGUGAAUACGUUCCCGGGCCUUGUACACACCGCCCGUCACACCAUGGGAGUGGGUUGCAAAAGAAGUAGGUAGCUUAACCUUCGGGAGGGCGCUUACCACUUUGUGAUUCAUGACUGGGGUGAAGUCAU